GUGAUGUGACUUAGAGUUGAUAUAAUUAUAACCUAAGAACCUGAAGAAGUAAUACAAGAAACAAGGUACUUAGUACCACAGAACUUCCCCAGAGAUUUAGCAUUUGGACUCAUUGGAUACUGGGAGUCUAGGGAAUCAGGUAAGGCCAAGUGUGGGAGUGGAAAUGAGGGUGAAAUUAGCUGAAGGAUUACUGAGAUAUUGGACUCCUAGGUCUCCUCCCGUUUCCCACACCACCAGGUAACUAUUGCCUACAGUUAAUUCUCUGUGGAAAUUGAAUAGGAAUGAACCUCAGCCUGGGACACCAGAAAGAGCAGAGAGCUGGGGUAAGAGAGGGACCUAAAAGAUUAAGGGAAAGCCUACAUUCCAAACUGUGAGACCCUCAGUCCCUUACUAAACUUUCAGAAUGCCAACAGCCAGGCAUUAUUUCUACUCCAUCUGUCCCUCUUCCUAUUCCCAGCCCCAUAUUUCUCUAGGGCAAGAGAUAGAAUCCUUAUGUAGGAAAACCGUGAAAAAAGACCUCUAGAUUCUGCCAUUUGGGGAGUCUGCCAGUGAAAAGGCUGGCUCACCCGGUCACCUCACAGUGAAACUCACCAGUCAAUAUGCCCCCUCUUAAUUCCAGUAAACCGUAUAGUAACUUGCCUUCAAAUAUUAACGGACAAACAAGAACCAUUAGACAGUCGAGGAAGCCUUCAAUGUGAGAAUAGCAAAACCCAGAAGGGGCCUAAGGGAAACUUAGUAUCUUAAGAAAGAUGAGAUCUUGUUUCCUUAAAAGAAGAAAGCUAUGAAAUAAAGGAACAAUUAGAAAACAAACCAAAAAAAUCUUGGAAAUUAAAACUAUGGCAAAUAUAAAAUUAACUGAAAGGUCUGAAAGACAGAAUUGAAGAAAUCUAAAAGGCAGAAGAAAAACAGAUGGAAAAUAGGAGGAAAGAAGAUACAGAUUUAACACAAGAAAUAAAAUGUCUAAAUACUCAGGAAUUCCUGAAUGAAAGAACCAGAGAAUAUGGAUAGGAGGAAAUUAUCAAACAAAUAAUUGAAGGAAAUUCCCCAGGACUCAAAGAAAUGAGCCUGUGACUGAAAGGAUCUGUAAGUUGCCCUGCACAAUUAAUAAAAGACAGGGCAACACGACCGAUCAGCAUGCAUUUCCAGACUACCCAAGUUAAAGAGUAGAUUUUAAAAGCUUCUAGAGACCAAAAAAAGGAUGCUAAAACGAAGUACUGGUUAUAAGAAUGGCAUCAGACUUCUCAAGAGCAGCACCAGGUGCCAGAAUACAAUGAAGUCAGAUUUUCAAAUUAUGGGGGAUGGGAGGGAUUAUUUUUAAUGUGGCGUUCUAUACUCAAUCAAGUGUGAAUAUAAAACAAUGACAUCUUCAGAUACUCAGGGAUUCUAAAAAUUUAGCUCCCAUUCGCCCUUUCUUAGGAAGCCACUAGAGGAUUUCCUCAGCAUUUUGAGAGUUAAAAAAUAAAAAGGAAGCCAAAGAUCCAGGAAAUAGGAACCCCAAGAAGAGAGAGGUGAAGGGAAAUCCUAGGAUGAUUAGGGAAUUACACUUGCACAACAGCAACAGCGUGGAGAGCAACCAGUUCAGAUUGGAGCAGGAUGAAAGGGUGGCUGCAAGUAACUGAAUACCUAACUCUAAGUGACUUAGACACUCAAGGUCUGUUAUCUCAUGUAACCAGAAGUGCCCACUACAAGGUUGGUUCAUUCAACCCUUGAUGUUAGGGUUCUGAAUUGGCUUUUCUGGAAUCAUCGCCUUUUCCCUUUUUGUGAAAAGAUGGCAGAUGUAGCUGCAAACUUCACAUCCUCACGCAACCAGGCAAAAACCAAGGAAGAGAAGUUUCUCUUCCAAGUUUCUUUCCACAGAGAUAAAAAUCUUAUCUAUCAAGUCCUAUCCCAUCAGUCUUCCCCUCAGAUUUCACUGACCAGAUGCCAAUUCAAGAGGUUUAUAAAGGUGGUGGUGUUUUCCCUCUUAAGAUAUGGAAAGCACAGAUGCCAAAUUUUAAGUCCACAGGUCACAGACUUCAGAGCAAACACAAGAGCAUACAUAUUUGAGCCAGAAUGCAUGGGUUUGUCUCUACCACUUACCAAGACUUGUGUUCUGACAAUACUUGGGGAACCUCAUGGGUCAAAGGGAUGGCUAGGUCAAGGCAAUAUUUGGGCAUUCCUGGGUUCCCUAACCAAAAUACCAUGUACAUACUAUGAUAAUACCAGUCCAGUUACACCCAACCACUAAGUUAGAUUCUAAACCUAAGUCUACUUUAUGGCACUUUAAGAAUAGUGGUAAAGUACAAGUUCUUAUUUCCAUUAAAAGUGUAGUAAUACUGUACAGGGAAAAAGAGAAAAUAUCUGGGGUCUUAUCUUUGCCACUUAAAAAAAAACUUUGUUUUUUAAAAGGUGCAUAAUUUUUUUUUUCUUUUUUUGGCUGUGCCGCUCGGCACGCGGGAUCUUAAUUCCCUGACCGGGGACCAAACCCACGCCCCCUUGCAGUGGAAGCGCGGAGUCUCAACCACUGGACCGCCAGGGAAGUCCCCAAAGAUACCAGCUGAUGCAAAGAUGUCUACCUAUCCAAGUAUUUACACUUGCUUUACGUGGCAUAAUUGCUGGCCACCUGGAGGCUACAAUUACAUAGCUGUAACAUGACUAGUUCUUGAGAAUAAUAUUUGAGAGUAAGCACUGGGUGUCACUUCCAGACCAAUAUGAUUAAGAACCACGUGUAUCUUUUUAAGAGACUCUGAAGACUAAGGAAUUACAAAAGUCACAAGUUGGAUGGAGCCUGGCUUCCUGAAUCACUACUCGAGGAUUGCUGCCCAUGGAUUGGGAAUACCCACUUCAACUUUACAUGAGAAAGAAAUAAACUUUUGGGUUUUACCUGUAUGGUUGCUAGCAUUACCUUAACUAAUACAGUGACUAUCCAGUAAUAACGGUCGAUUAUGUGACAAAAGUUAUGAGUAUGCCCAAAGUUCUUUACUGCAGAAAAAUUAGAAGGGAAAAAGCAACUAAAUAAAAUGAAUGAAAAGUACUUUUAGAAGAAUUCAUGUAAUAUUUAGUGGCUUGUUGGGAAUUAAGACCCCCUUGUAGAAAUUCCCAUAUGAAGGACUGCUUGAUUUCUGGUUUAGCAGAUCUGCAGACUCUCUAUACUCUGCUGUAUAUACCCCUAGAUGAGGGGCCAAACCUGGCCUGCUGCGUGGCUCUGUAAAUAAAAUUUUAUUAGAACACA